rnacentral:rRNA from 1 species
CCUACGGGUGGCAGCAGUGGGGAAUAUUGCGCAAUGGGCGAAAGCCUGACGCAGCGACGCCGCGUGAGGGAUGAAGGUCUUCGGAUCGUAAACCUCUGUCAGCAGGGAAGAACGGUCACUGUGCUAAUCAGCAGUGAAUUGACGGUACCUGCAAAGGAAGCACCGGCUAAUUCCGUGCCAGCAGCCGCGGUAAUACGGAGGGUCCGGGCGUUAUCCGGAUUUAUUGGGGUUAAAGGGAGCGUAGGCCGGAUGUCAAGCGUGCUGUGAAAUGUCCGGGCUCAACCCGGGCCUUGCGGCGGAAACUGGCGUGCUUGAGUCCGCGGAAGGCAGGCGGAAUUCGGCGUGUAGCGGUGAAAUGCUUAGAUA